UUGGAUCGAAGCUCAAAUCGGAUAAAAGAAUCAAAGGAAAUUUUCUUUGUAUUCGAGAAACUUCUAAAUAUUAUAACUUUUCUUUCAAAGUUAUCAAUAAAAUUGACUCUAAAUUUUAAAAUAAACUUUCGACUUGAAAUUUGUAUGUACAUUAGUGACUAAAAUAAAAAAUUUUAAACUUGAAUGACCAAACCAGAAACACUUUAAUAGUUGGGUGGUUGUUUUUGUAGUUUACCCAAG
rnacentral:lncRNA from 1 species